rnacentral:tRNA from 1 species
UGUUAUGUGGCUUAGGUGGUUAAAGCGCCGGUCUAGCGAAUACGGAGUCGUGGGUUCGAAUCCCACCAGAACGC